AUGCUCCACCUCCGGCAGCGCGUCCUCUCCCAUCUCCUCUUCGCCGCGCCCUCUCCUUCCGCCUCACCACUCCUCUCUCUCCACCGCCUCCUCUCCGCCGCCGCUGCCCCCCGCAUUUCUUCAAACCCUAGCUUCGCCGUCGACGACUACCUCGUCGAGACCUGCGGCCUCACCCGUGCCCAGGCACUCAAGGCCUCCGCCAAGAUCUCCCACCUCAAGUCCCCGGGCAAGCCAGAUGCCGUGCUUGCCUUCCUUGCCGGCCUCGGCCUCUCGGGCGCUGAUGUCGCGGCCGUCGUCGCCAGGGACCCGCUGAUCCUCUGCGCCGGCGUGGAGACAACCUUGUCCCCCAUCGUCGUUGGGCUCACCGGCCUCGGCCUGUCACAAGCUGAGAUUGCGCGCCUCCUCUCGCUCGUCCCUGACAACUUCCGCCGCAGAUCCUUCGUCUCCAAGCUAGAGUACUACCUUCCACUCUUCGGCUCCAUCGAGAACAUGGUCCGGCCGCUCAAACAUGGCCACUUCUUCCUCCACUCUGACCUCGAGAGGGUGGUCAAGCCAAAUGUCAAGCUCCUAGCAGAGUGCGGGCUAGGUGCUUGUGAUAUUGCCAAGCUGUUCAUCCGUGAGCCAAGGAUGCUUAGCGCCAAACCAGAGCGUGUCCUGGCGAUGGUUGCGUGCGCCGAACGUUUAGGUGUGCCCCGUGGCUCAGGAAUGUUCAGGCAAGCGCUGCACACCGUCUCAUGCUUCAGCGAGGACAAGAUCGCUGCCAGAGUGGACUACUUGAAGAGGACACUUAGGUGGUCAGAUACCGAGGUUGGCAUUGCUGUGUCCAAGGCUCUGAUUUUGCUGGCAAGAUCAAAUGACGUGCUGCAGCGUAUGUCAGACUUCCUAAUCUCUGAGGUGGGGUUGGAGCCGGCCUACAUUGCUCAUCGCCCCGCUAUGCUCACUUGCAGCCUGGAGGGCCGGCUCAGACCCCGCUACCAUGUUGUGAAAUUUCUUAAGGAAAAUGGAUUGCUAAAUCAUGGCAGAGACUACUACAGUAUGGUUGUGGUCAGCGAGAAGGUAUUUGUGGAGAAGUUCAUAUGCCCUCACAAGCAAGCUGCACCACACCUUGCUGAAGACUAUGCAGCUGCUUGCACAGGGCAGGUGCCUGCUACAUUCAGAUUUACAUGA
rnacentral:rRNA from 1 species